rnacentral:snRNA from 1 species
AUCGCUUCUCGGCCUUUUGGCUAAGAUCAAAGUGUAGUAUCUGUUCUUAUCAGCUUAAUAUCUGAUACGGGUUCAAAUGAACCCCAGAAUAUUAAACUGAUUUUUGGAAUUCGGUGGGAAAUCAAUGCUUGCAUUGAUCCUGCCACGGGUUGACCCGGUAUUGCAGUACCUCCGGGCUCGGCUCACCCCUU